AGAGUUUGAUCCUGGCUCAGGACGAACGCUGGCGGCACGCUUAACACAUGCAAGUCGAACGAGAGAAGAGGAGCUUGCUUUUCUGAUCUAGUGGCGGACGGGUGAGUAACACGUGAGCAAUCUGCCUUUCAGAGGGGGAUACCGAUUGGAAACGAUCGUUAAUACCGCAUAAUAUAAUUGAACCGCAUGAUUUGAUUAUCAAAGAUUUAUCGCUGAAAGAUGAGCUCGCGUCUGAUUAGCUAGUUGGUAAGGUAACGGCUUACCAAGGCGACGAUCAGUAGCCGGACUGAGAGGUUGAUCGGCCACAUUGGGACUGAGACACGGCCCAGACUCCUACGGGAGGCAGCAGUGGGGAAUAUUGCACAAUGGAGGAAACUCUGAUGCAGCGAUGCCGCGUGAGGGAAGAAGGUUUUAGGAUUGUAAACCUCUGUCUUCAGGGACGAAAAAAGACGGUACCUGAGGAGGAAGCUCCGGCUAACUACGUGCCAGCAGCCGCGGUAAUACGUAGGGAGCGAGCGUUGUCCGGAAUUACUGGGUGUAAAGGGAGCGUAGGCGGGAUCGCAAGUCAGAUGUGAAAACUAUGGGCUUAACCCAUAAACUGCAUUUGAAACUGUGGUUCUUGAGUGAAGUAGAGGUAAGCGGAAUUCCUAGUGUAGCGGUGAAAUGCGUAGAUAUUAGGAGGAACAUCAGUGGCGAAGGCGGCUUACUGGGCUUUAACUGACGCUGAGGCUCGAAAGCGUGGGGAGCAAACAGGAUUAGAUACCCUGGUAGUCCACGCCGUAAACGAUGAUUACUAGGUGUGGGGGGACUGACCCCUUCCGUGCCGCAGCAAACGCAAUAAGUAAUCCACCUGGGGAGUACGACCGCAAGGUUGAAACUCAAAGGAAUUGACGGGGGCCCGCACAAGCAGUGGAGUAUGUGGUUUAAUUCGAAGCAACGCGAAGAACCUUACCAGGUCUUGACAUCGUGCGCAUAGUUAAGAGAUUAAUGAAAUCACUCUUCGGAGUGACGUAUAGACAGGUGGUGCAUGGUUGUCGUCAGCUCGUGUCGUGAGAUGUUGGGUUAAGUC
rnacentral:rRNA from 1 species